rnacentral:misc_RNA from 1 species
AAGUCGUAACAAGGUUUCCGUAGGUGAACCUGCGGAAGGAUCAUUACAUUCAGUAGCCCAGCUACUUGUUUACACCCUUGUUUUUUUGCGUACCUAUCGUUUCCUCGGCGGGCUUGCCUGCCGGUUGGACAACUUUAUAACCUUUUUAAAUCUUCAAUCAGCGUCUGAACAAUAUACAAUAAUUACAACUUUCAACAACGGAUCUCUUGGUUCUG